rnacentral:snRNA from 1 species
AAAGGGGGCUUCUGUCAUGAGCGGCACACAUUGGGCAACUCAACUGCUCUUCACGAGGAAUCAACAUCAGGAGGUUUUGGAAAAAUGAUUUUUUUGGUAGUUGGGCAGCUUGUGAGAAAAAAAAUGUUUUCAGGCAAAUCCUC